CUGUGGUCCACAGGGCCCUGUGUUACCUGUCAGUGAAGCAGUACCAGGAUGCGGUCAAAGACUGCGAGCAGGCUCUGAGGAUGGACCAGGUCAACAUCAAGGCUUUGUACAGGAGGGCGCUGGCUCACAAAGAACUGAAGAACCUCAAAGCCUGCGUGGACGACCUGAACGCUCUGCUCCAGAUUGAACCCAAGAACGUGGCGGCCCUCAAGCUGCUGCAGGAAGUUCCGAAGAACAAGUGAGGAAGGAGGAGACGCUGUGGUCCGGACCUGAGGACUGUGGUCGAUGGGUUUGGUUCUCGGAGUGGACUGAUGUCGGAGUGCUGUCAGAGCUGCGCAGUCACCUGAUCCAACCAGCUCCUGUCACGUGGAGAGUCUGUGUUUUUCCAAAAAGCUUGUUUACUCUGUUGUCAUGUUUGUUUGCUGGUUUUUUUGUUUACUUGAACAAGUAUUUAAUCCUGAAAGGUUUUGGAACAAGUGCAGUGUCAUUAGAUGAAGUCUUGAAUCAUGGUGAACAUCUCUGUCUGGAAUGUUGAUGUUUGAAAAACAAUGACUGACUCAGCUGCAAAUAAAAUAAAAAAAAUAGGUCCCCUGA